rnacentral:lncRNA from 1 species
AAGUACUUUACAAUAGUAUUAGCUCUGCAGUCAUUCAGGGUGGAAAUUUAUCAGAGUUCUUUGGUAUUGGACGAGGCUGUAGACAGGGGGACCCAUUAUCACCGUACCUUUUCAUAUUAUGUGCAGAGAUUUUGGCAAUAAAGGUUAGAGGUAAUACGAAAAUACAGGGUAUAGAAAUUUCUCAAGUUGAACAUAAACUAUCUCAGUUUGCAGAUGACACUUCACUGAUUUUAGAUGGAAGUGAAGAAUCUAUGGAAGAAGCUUUAUUAGAGCUAGAUUGGUAUGCAAAACUUUCUGGACUAAGGAUAAAUUUUACAAAAACUCAAGUAGUAUGGAUUGGAAGUAAAAAAUACAGUAGAG